ACGGAAGGUGCGAGCGUUAAUCGGAAUUACUGGGCGUAAAGCGCACGUAGGCGGUUACUUAAGUCGGAUGUGAAAGCCCCGGGCUCAACCUGGGAAUUGCAUCCGAUACUGGGUGACUAGAGUACGGUAGAGGGGGGUGGAAUUCCAGGUGUAGCGGUGAAAUGCGUAGAGAUCUGGAGGAACACCGGUGGCGAAGGCGGCCCGCUGGGCCAUUCCUGACGCUCAGAUGCGAAAGCUAGGGGAGAGAACGG
rnacentral:rRNA from 1 species